rnacentral:rRNA from 1 species
UGGGGAAUAUUGCACAAUGGGCGCAAGCCUGAUGCAGCAACGCCGCGUGAGGGAUGACGGCCUUCGGGUUGUAAACCUCUUUUAGCAGGGAAGAAGCGAAAGUGGCGGUACCUGCAGAAAAAGCACCGGCUAACUACGUGCCAGCAGCCGCGGUAAUACGUAGGGUGCAAGCGUUGUCCGGAAUUAUUGGGCGUAAAGAGCUCGUAGGCGGUCUGUCGCGUCUGCUGUGAAAUCCCCGAGGCUCAACCUCGGGCCUGCAGUGGGUACGGGCAGACUAGAGUGCGGUAGGGGAGAAUGGAACUCCUGGUGUAGCGGUGGAAUGCGCAGAUAUCAGGAAGAACACCGAUGGCGAAGGCAGUUCUCUGGGCCGUAACUGACGCUGAGGAGCGAAAGCGUGGGGAGCGAACAGGAUUAGAUACCCUGGUAGUCCACGCCGUAAACGUUGGGCGCUAGAUGUGGGGACCAUUCCACGGUUUCCGUGUCGCAGCUAACGCAUUAAGCGCCCCGCCUGGGGAGUACGGCCGCAAGGCUAAAA